UUUUUGAAGAAACAUCUGAGAGCAAGCUUAACUCAAAUACAGCAUAACUAAAAACCCCUAUACACAUCUGGGCAAGCCGGGACAUCUUCCUGCUCCACUCUAUGAAGUGAUUCCAAUCUUUUAUGUCUGACUUCUGAACUCGCAGUAUUUCCCCAUUACCUGCUUCUGCAAGCUGCCUGAAUAGAGAUUUGACCUGCUGUCAGCUUUUUUCAAUCUCCUCUCCACACUGGCUUUGUAUUCAGUCUGCCUUGGCUACAACAGCAGUCAUCUGGUACAUAUUACCUGCACACAUGCUCCAGACAGCACCGGUUGACAUUCAGGGUUAAACAAAUCCAUCCAGCGUACAGACCAUAGAUCAGCCCGACACCGGUGCUCUCACACUGGCUACUGUAUACAUCCUCUCUGCCUGUUUUGCUAUAGCUGAAAUGGACCGAACAGCUUCUCCUAAUACAGAUUUCAUUUACUUGCUUUUCCUACCAGCAGAUUCUUGCAGCGGGAGCGUACGGUACAGUAUGUUAUUUAUAGGGGCAGCCGUCUGAGGUGCCCUGAGGCUAAAGAGCUGAAAUCAAUAAACAGUUGCGUCACUUUUGUGCAUAAACUUUCUUGUUAAAUGCGUUGAAAAUGCAUCUCGAGUAUUUAGAUGAAGUCAUUU